rnacentral:SRP_RNA from 1 species
GCUGGGCACAGUGGCGCAUGCCUGUAGUUCCAGCUACUCGGAGGCUGAGGCUGGAGGAUUCCUUGAGCCCAGGAGUUCCAGGCUGCAGUGCCCUAUGCCGAUGGGUGUCCACACUAAGUUCAACAUCAGUAUGGUGACCUCCUGGGAGCGAGGGACCACCAGGUUACCUAAAGAGGGCGUGAAACUGGCCCAGGUCGGAAAUAGAUCAGGUCAAAACUCCCGUACUGAUUCAGUACUGGGAUUGCGCCUGUGAGUCCCACUGUACUCAACGCCUGGGCGACGCAGCAGCACCCCGGCUCAA